GGGUGAGUAACACGUGGGUAACCUGCCUGUAAGACUGGGAUAACUCCGGGAAACCGGGGCUAAUACGGAUGCUUGUUUGAACCGCAUGGUUCAAACAUAAAAGGUGGCUUCGGCUACCACUUACAGAUGGACCCGCGGCGCAUUAGCUAGUUGGUGAGGUAAUGGCUCACCAAGGCGACGAUGCGUAGCCGACCUGAGAGGGUGAUCGGCCACACUGGGACUGAGACACGGCCCAGACUCCUACGGGAGGCAGCAGUAGGGAAUCUUCCGCAAUGGACGAAAGUCUGACGGAGCAACGCCGCGUGAGUGAUGAAGGUUUUCGGAUCGUAAAGCUCUGUUGUUAGGGAAGAACAAGUACCGUUCGAAUAGGGCGGUACCUUGACGGUACCUAACCAGAAAGCCACGGCUAACUACGUGCCAGCAGCCGCGGUAAUACGUAGGUGGCAAGCGUUGUCCGGAAUUAUUGGGCGUAAAGGGCUCGCAGGCGGUUUCUUAAGUCUGAUGUGAAAGCCCCCGGCUCAACCGGGGAGGGUCAUUGGAAACUGGGGAACUUGAGUGCAGAAGAGGAGAGUGGAAUUCCACGUGUAGCGGUGAAAUGCGUAGAGAUGUGGAGGAACACCAGUGGCGAAAGCGACUCUCUGGUCUGUAACUGACGCUGAGGAGCGAAAGCGUGGGGAGCGAACAGGAUUAGAUACCCUGGUAGUCCACGCCGUAACGAUGAGUGCUAAGUGUUAGGGGUUUCCGCCCCUUAGUGCUGCAGCUAACGCAUUAAGCACUCCGCCUGGGGAGUACGGUCGCAAGACUGAAACUCAAGGAAUUGACGGGG
rnacentral:rRNA from 1 species